rnacentral:rRNA from 1 species
UACGGAGGGAGCUAGCGUUGUUCGGAAUUAUUGGGCGUAAAGAGCUCGUAGGCGGUUUGUCGCGUCUGCUGUGAAAACCUAAGGCUCAACCUUGGGCUUGCAGUGGGUACGGGCAGACUAGAGUGCGGUAGGGGUGACUGGAAUUCCUGGUGUAGCGGUGGAAUGCGCAGAUAUCAGGAGGAACACCGAUGGCGAAGGCAGGUCACUGGGCCGCAACUGACGCUGAGGAGCGAAAGCAUGGGGAGCGAACAGG